GCACCUGACGCUCAGAGGCGAAAGCUAGGGGAGCGAACAGGAUUAGAGACCCUGGUAGUCCUAGCCCUAGACGCUGGAUGCUAGGUGUAGGCCUGAUGAGGCUAUGUGCCGGAGCGAACGCGAUAAGCAUCCAGCCGGGGAACUACGGCAGCAAGGCUCUCACUCAAACGAAUUGACGGGGACCACGCACAAGCAUCGGAGCGUCUGGUUUAAUGCGAUCCUACACGACGACCCUUACCUGGCUCAGACACACUGCUGGUACCGAACCGCAAGGGGAGGGAGCACUCGGGGACCCAACACCAGAUGCCGCACGGCUGUCGGCAGCUCGUACCGUGAGGUGUCGGGCGACGUCCCGCGACGAGCGCAACCCUUGCUAUUAGCUAUACGUGUCUAAGGGGACUGCCGGCGACAAGCCGGAGGAAGGUGGGGAGGACGUCAAGUCAGCAUGGCCUCGAGAUCCAGGGCUACACACACGCUACAAUGGCCGGUCCAAAGGGCAAGCCAAGCCGCGAGGUGGAGCGAAUCCCAGCAAAGCCGGUCCCAGCUCGGAUUGCAGGCUGCAACCCGCCUGCAUGAAGUUGGAGUUGCUAGUAACC
rnacentral:rRNA from 1 species